AAUGAUCUUUCGAGAUAUCAAGUCAAUCGGAUACUUCUUGGUAUAUAAUCGGAGAAGAUAUAUGCCGAAAAAAAUUGUAAAAACGUGAGCCGGGAAUACUUGAUUACAACUUGAAAAGACUUUUUUUCUCCUUCUGGUCCUAGUCUGUUAAUAACAACGUCGCCGAUUCAAGUCGACCUUACGCCCUCGCCGAUCCGAGUUCCAAUCACUGAGUCAGCCGGCAUGGGUGUGUUCGCGACUCGGGCGAUCGGAGCUGGUGAACUCAUCCACGCGGCCACGCCCAUCGUCUCUUUCUCGCUCUACAACAACCUGGGUGUUUGCUAUUUGUGCCUUAAAAGUCUCAGAAACAGAACCACAUCUGCAGCCAAGAAUGUGAGGAACAAUCUAAGUCGAAAUUUGUCCGCAGAGAUGUGGGGAAUGGAGCUGCAAUGGAACUCGUUGUGAACAUGAUCAUGGAAAGGUUGCAGACUCUAUUUGUGUGUAGUAAGUUAUGGCUGAAAUGAGUGGAAUGUUUCUACCAAUUUGCAGUAUGAUGGCAUCUUUUUCCAGAGAUUGAUCCUCUGUGAGAAAGUAGGACUGGACUCGAGUGUCCUCGUAGAGGUGCGCUAUUAGUGAACCUAUGUUUUCAAUGAAAGGCCCCCUUCAAUGGUACAAUCCCUAUAUCCUAUUGCGUUUCCCUUGAAACAUCAACGAAAGGACUUGCGACUUGCUCUGGGAUUUGCCGUAUGGCCCGUAUCAGUUUCCCAACCUACGCCGAUGGCAACCAAAAUAAAGGAACUCCACAAGGUGGCUAAAUCUCGCGGCCUCAGAGACGAGGACUUCAGUAAAAUUGCAAAACCAAUCAGAGGAGUAAAAGUUGUUCUCCUCUUGUAGUUCUUACUUGACAGCAGUGUUUUUCGUAAAGUUGAUCUCCUGAUAAUUUGAAUUUUAAAGGUAUGAGAUCUUUUCUCCCAUGUUUGUAACAUGGAUAUAUACUCCUACAACGUAUAAGCAAUGGCUGACAGAAGGGGAUGCCGAGGGGUGUUUGGGCCUGUGCACAACUCCAAAUAUUUCCACGUAUUGUACUAGCUUUUGAAGCUAAUUUAGAAAAAUUCUAUGGGAUUGACUGCUGCAUGUCCCUUAGGUGAAAAGAUUUCUUUGGAAUUCCUAUAUAUGCGUGGAUGUGUGGCACAAAUCUUGUGUCUACUGCUGUGUACAAGAAUUCCUUGUUCGUAUUAUAAAUAAACUCAUAUACUAUUCUUUGA